UGUGGCUAUAGCAGACGCAGGGCGCACGCCGGAAAGUCCCUGAUAGCUGGUGCAGUCAAUUCAAUUCAAUUCACCGUCUGAGCAGCCAGUUACCUCCCACCCACACAGCAAGCACCGCUUCAAUCCAAUUCCCUUUUCUCUUAGUAAAACAACUCUGAAGAAACAGACUGAAGAACAGGCUCUGGGACAUGGCAGGUGGUGACCUGGCACCCCAGCAUCCAACGGGGGUGCUCGCGAGCCUUCCGCCGGGGAGAGCCACCUCUCAGGAAGUGACUCAGCAGUACAAGCGUCUACUCUGAGAGCCCCUGCCUGCAUCUCACAGAGAAAAUCAGGAACUCCAGCUGGCCUCGCCGGCCAGUACAGAUUCUUCCAGAGACACCAAGCAGAGAGCGGCUGCAUGUGGCUGUCCAGGCAGAGCCCUGCAGCAGGCAGUGACGCACCAAGACACUGGGACCCACGGCUACCAGCUCCCCGCCACCCGAUGGAAACUGCCCCCGCCAGUGUUCUGGCUAGAAAGCGGCAUCACGCGUUUGCCUAGGACGCUUUCCGAGGCCGAGGGUCUCUGCGGACCAGAAGCUGGUCAGCCUUUGCAAGUCAGAGCCAACACGCGUCCUCACCAAGUCCGAGAUGGGCCCGGUGUCCCUGAGCCUGGGAACUGGCUGAGGGCCCCACACAGUUGUUCCCCAGUUUUCCUGCGCUCCUUCAAUGGAAAUCUAGGCGAGCAUCCAGUCCAUCUCUUCCGCAAAGUCCAAGGUGAGCUGCG